UACAAAGUUUUAAACCUCAACUCCUCUUCAUGGUUGGCAAUCUAAUAAUUAUUCCAAAUUAAUAAUGUGAAAACGUCAGUGUCUGUUUUUCAGUAACGAUAUAAAGACAGGUUUCACAUCUGAAUUAAGGAUAUUUCAUCAUAAUUUGUUCCCCUCUUUAGAGUGCUAGGAACCUUUAUUAUAGAUAUUCAGUUAGCCAUUUGUUUAUCUGUGGUAUAAGAACAAUGUCCAAGACUCUUGACCUACUGCUCCAAUUUCUGGCAAACUUAAAAAGUAUCAUCUUUGACAUUCAUUUACAAUCCAUCUUUUCUGUCUUUUCUGGCCCAGAGCCACAGGCUUUGACUGAAGACUUCUAAAGCAACUUGUUCUAGCCUCUGCCCUGUUACUUACCAAAUCAUUAUAUAACCAAGUCC
rnacentral:lncRNA from 1 species